rnacentral:lncRNA from 1 species
GAGGCCUAAUCCCAUUUGGAGGCUCCACGAGAGCAGCCAUUUCACUGAUAUUUUCCAUGGAAAAUCAUCAAAAUCAUAUAUCUAAAUACUUACUAUAUUCAUAUUUUUAUUUGAAUGUAAAGAAGAUAAAGUGGGCACUUACAUUUCGGCGAUUCGAUCUUCUGGGCUGGGCUCGCCUCCUCUCAACUUUUGAUCAAUAAAAUAAUCUUGGAAUUUCAACUUUUCUUUCUCUUCAAUCUUCCACCAAUUGACAGCAACCCCCUUUAUUCAACUUUGUCAAUGAAAAAGCAUCCAAUUUGGCUAACAAGUAAAGCCAAAGCCCUGCAUAUUCAGUAAUAAAAAAUUAUUCAUAAUCAUCAUUGAAUUUAAAAGUAGGCAACCAAACCCACUUAUGAAUUCCCAUUUGGGUAGAUAAUCACUAUACACAGAAAUAUAUAUAUAUAUAUAUAUAUAUAUAUAUAUAUAGAGAGAGAGAGAGAGAGAGAGAGAGAGAGAGAGAGAGACAGAGAGAG